rnacentral:piRNA from 1 species
UGUCGCCAUGGUUCUCCUUGCCUGA